rnacentral:rRNA from 1 species
GACGAACGCUGGCGGCGUGCUUAACACAUGCAAGUCGAACGAAGAGCGAUGGAAGCUUGCUUCUAUCAAUCUUAGUGGCGAACGGGUGAGUAACGCGUAAUCAACCUGCCCUUCAGAGGGGGACAACAGUUGGAAACGACUGCUAAUACCUCAUACGAUCUGACCUCGGCAUCGAGGAUAGAUGAAAGGUGGCCUCUAUUUAUAAGCCAUCCCUGUAGGAAGGGAUUGCGUCUGAUUAGCUAGUGGGCGGGGUUACGGCGCACAAAGGCGAUGGUCAUGAGCCGGUCAGAGGAGGUUAACGGGCACGUUGGGGCUGAGACACGGCCCAAACUCCUACGGGAGACAGCAGUGAGGAAUCUUCCACGAUGGACGAAAGUCUGACGGAGCAACGCCGCGUGGGUGAUGACGGCAUUCGGGUUGUAAAGCUCUGUUAUUCGGGACGAAAGGCCUUCUUGCGAAUAGUUAGAAGGAUUGACGGUACCGAAAGAGGAAGCCACGGCUAACUACGUG